CUUACCAGUUUAAUAUCUGGUACGCCCUCUAUCCGAGGACAAUAUAUUAAAUGGAUUUUUGGAGCAGGGAGUUGGGAUACGAGAUUGUGCCAUUCACUCCUAGCUCUGGCCUGAUAUUGCAGUACCUCCAGGAAGGGGGA
rnacentral:snRNA from 1 species